AGGGAGACAUGGAUCAGCCACCCAGCUCGGCUUCCAGGCCCCCGACCUCCUUUCAGGUCAUCUUCCCCACUUGACAGGCCGAAGUCGGAUCUAAAGUCCGCCUUCCCUCCGCGCGGCUUUGUAGCGCCACUCAUUAUGCUUCAGCCACAGAAGCCAGCGGCCCUGACUCCUUUCACCUGACGCUCUGCCUCACCCAGCACACAGCCCGGCCCCCACCAGCCCACCUCGAAGAGCCCCGUCCUCAGAGCCUGGAAGGCCACACUGAAGGCAGCUGGGUUGUGAAAAGGGUGAAGAGGUCAGAAGAGUCAAGGCCGCCCGCAGCGCCAGCGUUCCCUUUAAGAUCUGCACUUUCUGCAGAACAAAAGACUCAUUCAGGCGACCAAAGGAAAGAAGGAAAGAAGAAAGGAGACUAACAGACAAGAGUUGAAAGCAGACAUUGUCAAGGACAUGACAAGUUUAAGAAAGUGAUACUGAAAAAACUCGAUAGAACCCAGACCCAUAGAUCCUGACAUCCUAGUCCCCUGCCCUGCACCCCACAA